rnacentral:rRNA from 1 species
GAUGAACGCUAGCGGGAGGCUUAACACAUGCAAGUCGAGGGGCAUCACGGGGUAGCAAUACUCUGGUGGCGACCGGCGCACGGGUGAGUAACGCGUAUGUAACCUACCCUGUACAGGGGGAUAGCCCGGAGAAAUUCGGAUUAAUACCCCAUAAUAAUAUUGGAAGGCAUCUUUUGAUAUUUAAAGUUACGGCGGUACAGGAUGGGCAUGCGUGACAUUAGCUAGUUGGUAGGGUAACGGCCUACCAAGGCUACGAUGUCUAGGGGUCCUGAGAGGGUGAUCCCCCACACUGGUACUGAGACACGGACCAGACUCCGAUGGGAGGAAGCAGUGAGGAAUAUUGGUCAAUGGACGGAAGUCUGAACCAGCCAUCCCGCGUGCAGGAAGAAGGCGCUAUGCGUUGUAAACUGCUUUUCCAGGGGAAGAAAUUUUCGCACGUGUGCGGAAUUGACGGUACCUUGGGAAUAAGCAUCGGCUAACUCCGUGCCAGCAGCCGCAGUAACAC